rnacentral:rRNA from 1 species
GGCGAACGCUGGCGGCAGGCCUAACACAUGCAAGUCGAACGAAGUCUUCGGACUUAGUGGCGGACGGGUGAGUAACACGUGGGAACGUACCUUUUGGUUCGGAACAACUCAGGGAAACUUGAGCUAAUACCGGAUGAGCCCUUAGGGGGAAAGAUUUAUCGCCGAAAGAGCGGCCCGCGUUAGAUUAGCUAGUUGGUGAGGUAAAGGCUCACCAAGGCUGCGAUCUAUAGCUGGUCUGAGAGGAUGAUCAGCCACACCGGGACUGAGACACGGCCCAGACUCCUACGGGGGGCAGCAGUGGGGAAUCUUGCGCAAUGGGCGAAAGCCUGACGCAGCCAUGCCGCGUGAAUGAUGAAGGUCUUAGGAUUGUAAAAUUCUUUUACCAGGGACGAUAAUGACGGUACCUGGAGAAAAAGCCCCGGCUAACUUCGUGCCAGCAGCCGCCGUAACAC